rnacentral:lncRNA from 10 species
AGAUUUUCUUUCUGUAUCAUUGUCAUCAAGCAAGAGAGGCUGUACCUGCAGCACAGCCCUAAUUACCCAGCGACUGGUACUCACCUCCUUCAGAGUACAGCACACAAGUUCCUGCCUGCGACAGUUCUCAGCCUUGGUUUUGAAACAAUCAGGAUGCUAAAAAAUUCUCAAAGCAAUUCAUUUUUAUUUUUUAAAAAACACCCCAAAAUAAAAAACCACUGACUCAUCCAUGCCAAACUGCACUUUCCAGAGGAAGCAUGUCAGCAGACUCAAACGGACAAUGGACAGAAUCCCAUGACACCAAAGUCAUUCAAACCUGAUGCUUCAGAGGCUGACAUUCUGAGCUGAAAUAGCCACAGGUCACCACUUGGCCUGAUGUGGGACUCUCCUUUCUUUUUAGUCUAUUCAUGUGGUGGCAGAAGAUGUGAGACUCUAGUCUCCAGUCAGGGAGGCUUCUCCUGUUAUAGAAAAAUAUUAGAGUCUAGGCUUGACUUAGCGAUGGGUGGGCUAUAUUAAGAAUCAUACCCUGCUUCUUCAAAGUCUAGACGAUGCAUUUGUAGUUCUGGCUUCUCUCAGGGGUUGUGGAUCUCAGGGACCAGAGAGAGCUUUUAGUCCUUUUAUGGAUGGGUUCACUGUGACUCUAAAAUCUUUUCUCAUUGAAAUUAGCCAGCAUAAUUUGACAGACACUCAGAAAAACACCCUAAUCAUAUUAGGCUGAAGGCCAGGUCUGGAAGUAAAUUCUUUAAAAGUUUGGGCUUCAGGAAGGAUAGGUUGAAGGUGAAAAUGGAGUAUGUUAAAAUGGGGAUAUUAAAAAUAUAUUUAAAACUAGGAGGCUAAUCCCUGGCAGAAGAGAACUCUUCUUUGAUUUGCCAAUCCCUGGCCUUUUCUUACUCCUUAUUUGUACUGACUCCAGGUUUUCCAUAGCAUGAAUGCCUGCCGCUGCUCUACGCAUAGUAAGUUAUAGCGUUCUACAGAUUGGUCAUCUAGACCGAAGACACGGAGGAAAACAUGUUCUGGCAAUUCUACCUGGCUCAAGGUGUAAGUAUGUAUUUUUAAUUCUCAGAGGAGAAAAAGCAUUACAGAGGCAGUCUAGAACAAUCAUUGUCACCUUUCCAACUUCCGUGUUGAUGACAUCAAUAACAGAUGGAAAAGAAAUAAUUAAAAAUAAAGGAGAAAGAGUUUUCCAUGAUUCACCAAAGUAGUAGGAGUAUUCUGUCAGGAAAGCUUAGAACCAUUUAUCAGCUGCUACCUAAAAUUUAGCAUUUAACUUUAAUUAUGCCUAGUUACGAAUUAAGCAAAACAGAAAGUGUUUUAACAUGACCAGCUGCUACAGAUUGAAAUAGUUUCACAGUAGAAAUUUUUAUUUUUUUAUUGUUCUUUUUUGAUUAUGCAAUAAGCCCCCUUCUUAACAGAUUGUCACAAAAACUAAAUUGUAAUGACAUUAGCCAGCUAACCUGUCUGCCCCAACUCCCUUAAACACCAAGGAAUAAAGCAUACUAAUAUGGUCAUAAGUCAAACUUCCUCUGGGAAAGAAGAUCCAGGCUAGACUCUUUCAGAGCCCCUGUGGGGCAGAAGCAGAAUCCUUACAUCAUAGUUAGGUUUUGGUGGUAUUCAUUUUUUUUUCAUUAUUAUCAAGGUAACUGUAUCUAACACUGGACCAGAAGAAAAUGUCCUUAAUCCUUAUCUCAUUACCCUUUCCCAAAAAGAAGACAUCAGAGAUUGUGUGGGUCAACUUAAAAGAAGAGGCGAGCAUGCUCCUGGUUCAUGGAAGGAAAUGAGCUUCCAUCAUCUGCACAUGAUCAGCGGGCAUCAAAAUCUGUUAAUUCAGAACAAUAUGAAGACACACUCCCAUUUGAAGCUUACUUUCUAAUCUAAGGAGAAAUCAUGAUAGCACAUGAUGAAAGAGUACAUCAAUAACUCUGAGGGUAGAUGGUAGGAUAGAAUACUAGAAGAUGAGCAGGUAUUAGGUGGAUUAGCCAAUUUUCCAUAUUGAAAGAAAAAAUGAGGCUGGGCACGGUCGCUCACACCUAUAAUCCCAGCACUUUGAGAGGGUAAGGCACAUGGAUCACUUGAGCCCAGGAGUUCAAGACCAGCCCGAGCAACAUGGUGAAACCCCCUCUCUACAGAUAUACAAAAAAUUAGCCAGGCAUGGUAGCACGUGACUGUAGUCCCAGUUACUCUGGAGGUUGAGAUGGGAGAAUCACCUGAGCCUGGGAGGUUGAGGCUGCAGACAACACUGCGCCACUUCACUCCAGCCUGGACGACAGAGCGAGACUCUGUCUCAAAAAGAAAAAAUAAAGAAAAAGAAAAAAUGACUUGGGGAAUGAAAUAAAAAUUCUAACCCAACUCUCACCGUGUCAGAAACAACUUGGAAAUUAAAAUUUGUCAAUUUAGAACUCAGUAAGUCACCUAACCUAACCAGUUUGACUGAAAUGACUAGAAGAAAAAUGGCUAAAGAACAAUCCAGUAACUGAGGAAGAGACAGUCUGAAUUUCUGUACUAACUCUGAUCCAAUUCAGUCACUCAUUGCUAUGGCUGGGCAGGGAUCCAAGUGAAACUUUUAACAGUGGCCAAUAAGGUGGCAUAGAGUUACUGCCUCUAAAAACCACAACUUGUCCCUAAGCUUGAAACCCAACCAUAAACUUCCUCAAAUCCAUGUGGACGAGCACCAUGUUUUUAAGCAGCCCACUCUCCUCAAACUUGAAUUGGCCUGCAGAAGACAGGUAUGCCAACUUCAAUGACUCUGCUCUGCAUCACUCUCUCGGUUGCCAAAUUGAGGCAGAAACAUCCAUUUGCCUUCCUGUAGCUUUCUAAAAUCUGUCUACAGUGUAAUGAGUUGUCUAUACACUUUCCCUUAGCCCAGUUUCAGUAACCUUGUAGUCCAUUCGAUACACAGAAAUAGAGCACGCACCAACCUCAGCCACAGGCCCCUUUCUCUCCCAAGUUCAGGCACAGUACUGGCUAGAACUCUCACUAAAAACACAAACACCAAAACACAGUGUACAUCAGAUGCAUAUGGGGUAGUAAUGCUUUUAACAGUUUGCUUACAGGAGCAGUUCUUCAACACUGAUAACAACUGGCAAAACAACCUCAACAUAUGCUCUGCCUAGAUAAUGCAGGAGAUCCUUAAAUUUCUCCAAGUUAGAAAAUUCAGGACAACAGCAAUAUGGUGUUAGAGACUUCAGAUCUGUGUCAAUCAGAUAUAGCCUUGCUGCCACCUAAAGAUGUGCUCGCCACCCCACACAUGGCUUUAGCAGCAGUUCCAAAGGCCAAUGCAUUCACUCUUGGAAGACAGUGUCAGCUGUCUUGACACUGCUGCUGGCUACAUUUAACCAACUCUAUGAUGUGGUACCAGAGCCCAAGAAAUACAUCAAGCCAGAUCAUUCUGUCCAAACAUCCCAAGGAAACAUGUGCCUUGGACAGCACCUGAGUGGGAACAGGCUGCUAAUGUUGAUAUAAAAUGCAAAAUAGUAAAAGUAGCAUUUUCUCUAAUUUACUAUUCAGUGAGAAACCCAUGCAGAAAUCCAAUGCAGCAAAUUGUAGAGGUUCAAUGCUCCCUGAUCUGCAGUUAAGCCAGGUGUGCCACCUCCUUCAUCUGACUUGGAUCCUGCUCUGGACUUCAAGGAAACAUCUACCUGGCUAGCAGUUCAAGGACUCGAUAUAAAAAUAACUCAUGCUUUGUUUCAACUGGAGGGUCAUGACACUGUUGGGCCUACAGGAAAACCAUUCAUAAGUCAAUGUAAGCUCAUAUCUACUGAAAGAGUAGAUUUGAGUUUUUUGAGUAGAUAUGAGCUUUUACACCCUAAGUUACAAUGAAAAGAUUCACUGAAGAAGGAUUCAAUCAUGCUGUACUACUUCCUGGAGUUGGCAGAGAAAUCAUCCAUUUCUUGGUAGUUGAAAGAAGGCUGAUCCAAGAACACAGUGAAGAGAUGUUCCCAUUUCUCAAGGUGUUUCAUCUUCCUGGCCAUGAUGAUUUAGCACCUGCAAAAUUCCCAAACCUACGCAAUGUGGUUAAUGCGGGGAAGCAGACAUUGGACUACCAACUUCCAAAGAGUCACUAUCUCGACUAGCAGAUCAUGAGGUAGAUGAAUAUAGGCCCCAUCUGCAUCAUCAUACCCUCCAUUAUUG